rnacentral:rRNA from 1 species
CACCGGCGGACGGGUGCGUAACACGUGGGAAUGUACUUACUGGUUCGGAACAACCCAGGGAAACUUGAGCUAAUACCGAAUGUGCCAGGGGAAAGAUUUAUCGCCAGUAAAUCAGCCCGCGUCCGAUUAGCUAGUUGGUGGGGUAAAGGCUCACCAAGGCGACGAUCGGUAGCUGUUCUGAGAGGAAGAUCAGCCACACUGGGACUGAGACACGGCCCAGACUCCUACGGGAGGCAGCAGUUGGGAAUCUUGGACAAUGGGGGAAACCCUGAUCCAGCCAUGCCGCGUGAGUGAUGAAGGCCUUCGGGAUGUAAAACUCUUUCGACGGGGACGAUAAUGACGGUACCCGUAGAAGAAGCUCCGGCUAACUUCGUGCCAGCAGCCGCGGUAAUACGAAGGGGGCUAGCGUUGUUCGGAAUUACUGGGCGUAAAGCGUGCGCAGGCGGCCUUUCAAGUCAGUGGUGAAAGCCCGGAGCUCAACUCCGGAACUGCCAUUGAAACUGUUUGGCUUGAGUACGAGAGAGGUGAGUGGAAUUCCCAGUGUAGAGGUGAAAUUCGUAGAUAUUGGGAAGAACACCAGUGGCGAAGGCGACUACCUGGCCUGUUCU